AUGACCUGCAUAAAUUUAUCUUAUGUACACCACAACAGCCACUUUUAUAUCAUACUUUUGUCUCCAAUUCAAGAAACCGUGGAUAUAUCUAGGUUGAAUUUUGUUGUUUCGAAUUUGUUUUGGCUCCAGUUACAUGAUAGGCUUGCAACACUUAGACUAAAGUCUAAAAGCAGGAUGAGGAGUACCGGAGUAGAGUUUUCUUUUAUCUCUCACUGGAUGCUCAAUAACUUUAUAAAACGCACCUCCUCUUUUCUAUGA